rnacentral:rRNA from 1 species
AUUGAACGCUAGCGGGAGGCUUUACACAUGCAAGUCGAACGAGUGGCGGACGGGUGAGUAAUAUAUGGGAACGUGCCCAGUAGCGGGGGAUAACUACUCGAAACGGUGGCUAAUACCGCAUACUAUUAGAGCGGCCGAUAUGGGAUUAGCUUGUUGGUGGGGUAAAGGCUCACCAAGGCGACGAUCCUUAGCUGGUUUGAGAGGACGACCAGCCACACUGGGACGGAGACACGGCCCAGACUCCUACGGGAGGCAGCAGUGGGGAAUUUUGCACAAUGGGCGCAAGCCUGAUCCAGCCAUCCCGCGUGUAUGAGAAGGCCUUCGGGUUGUAAAGUACUUUUGGCAGAGAAGCGGUACCUGCAGAAUAAGCACCGGCUAACUACGUGCCAGCAGCCGCGGUAAUUC